rnacentral:tRNA from 1 species
GCGGCCGUCGUACAACGGUUAGUAUAGAAGCCUGUGGAGCUUCGGAAGUGGGUUCGAUUCCCACCGGCUGCU